GUGAAAGUCAUUUUCCUUAAAAAUAGUUUAGUAUAUUAAUAUUUUUGUUGACCUAUUUUCUGAGUGUCUCAAAUGCUAAAAAAUGUGAAAAUAUUUUUCGUAAAAUAAAUGGAAUUUAAGUGUGCAUUAUUCUUUCUUUGAAAAGGAAAGCUAAAAUUGAAAACCAUUUAGAAAAAAAGGAAAGGAAAAAUUUGGGAAAGGAUGUUGGAG
rnacentral:misc_RNA from 1 species